UGUUUUCACGAAGUGACGGUAGUGAGGAAAAUCGCACAUAUUUUCACUUUUGAUUUUUUUGCAUUUUUGGACAUCAUUCACUAAUACCUUGAACCUCACAAAAUUUCAGAUCAUAAUAAUGUCUAAUUAUGUCACUAUGACGAUGACGUAAACAAGAAAAUACCUAGCAAAAGGAUUUUCUGUUUUCACGAAGUGACGGCCAAGUACGCGCUUAACAGCCGUCAAUUCGUGAAAACAUCGUUUGCUCUUUUCCUGCUUUUAAUAUUUUCACGAAGUGACGGUAGUGAAAAUUUCGCAGUUUGGAACAGUCACAGACCAUGUAAAGUUUCAGAUGCAGUAGAUACAAUUUUCACUUGUAUGAAGGAAGCACUGGGAAAGUACAUCUACUUUUCAAGAAUGCCACAGGCCAGAAACAAAUCCAGAUUGGAUACAGGGACCGACAUGCUGGUAAGAUGGGUCCUUGAUACUUCACUAAACACAGAGCUGGAGAAUGUGACUUGGCAAAGUGACC